CUGAUGACGUAAUCACGUCCGCAGCUUAGCAGCAGAAACGUCGGCGUAAACAAAACCAUCAGCUAGGAGCUAAAUGUGCGAUGCUUGGUGGGUAAAAUGGUAAAACGGGAGUAUUUGGUGGCACGUGAACAUUUUAUUAUCAUUAUCGGUGAGUGAAACUAUUAUUAUACCGUCGACAGACUCACUGGAGACUGAAACUAAGCAGCUAGAUUAGCCUCAGCUAACGGUAGGUAACGGGAUUCAUGCUACAGCUGAUCCUGUAUCGACCCGACAUCGGUUAUUGGUUCUGGUGGUCUGUGUGAAAUCUGCGUGUUAGCCUGAGGAGUUAGCUGGACACCAUGUAGCAGCGCGGGGAUCUGGAUCAGAUGCGCUCCUGGACCGCGGACUGAGAUGUUCAGCCUGAUGGCGAACUGCUGCGCCUGGCUGAAGCGCUGGCGAGAGCCCGCCAGGAAAGUGACUCUAGUGAUGGUGGGCCUGGAUAAUGCAGGAAAAACAGCCACAGUCAGAGGAAUCCAGGGAGAAAGCCCUCAGAACAUAGCUCCUACUGUGGGCUUCUCCAGAGUCGACCUGAAACGGGGAAAGUUUGAGGUGACCAUCUUUGACCUGGGCGGUGGGAAGAGAAUCCGUGGCAUCUGGAAGAACUACUACUCAGAGUCGUACGGCGUGGUGUUUGUGGUGGACUCCACUGACGUCCAGCGCAUCCAGGAGACACGGGAAACCAUGGCGGAGGUCCUCCAGCACCCACGCAUUGCUGGAAAACCUGUCCUAGUACUUGCAAACAAACAGGACCAGGAGGGGGCGCUAGCUGAAGCAGACCUCAUCGAGAACCUGUCCUUAGAGAAGCUGGUCAAUGACAACAAGUGUCUCUGUCAAAUCGAGCCCUGCUCGGCUGUUCUAGGCUACGGCAAAAAGGUGGACAAGUCCAUCAAGAAGGGCCUGAGCUGGCUGCUCAACAACAUCGCCAAAGACUACGAGGCCAUCGCUGAGCGUGUGCAGAAGGACACGGCCGAGCAGCGCGGCCUGGAGGAGCAGGACAAGAAGGAGCGGGCGGAGAGAGUCCGUAGGAUACGGGAGGAGAGAGAGCGGCAGGAGCGUGAAGAAGCAGAACGGGAGGGCAGAGCAGACCAAUCAGAAGGAGGAGAUGAGGAAAACAUCCAGAACCUCUUCCAACCCAUAGGACUUGUGGAUUCUAAGAAUGAGGAACAAGAGCAGGAGAAGAAGAGGCAAGAGGGCCUGAGGGGGGAGUCGGAGCAGGAGGAGGAGGACAACAAGGAGGAAGCAGGAAACUCAGCUCCCUUGUUGUUUCCAUGGUGGGAGAAGGUUUUAUGGACCUCUAAAAGUCUCCGUGUCCUCCAGCAGCAGUUGAACCAAGCAAAAAGAAGAGCAGCAAGCUGCAGCUGAAGAGGAAGCACAGGGUGGACCCUCUGAGGACAGAAGACCCAGCAGAGAGUCCCACGCCACCGCCUCCUCCAGUGGGAUGGGCCACGCCCAAGCUGUCUAGACAUCCCAAACUAGAGCCACUCGGCGACUCGAAGCACUCGGAAUUUCACAAGAAGCCCCUCCCACCUCUGGCCAAUAAGCCGCAGCCUAACGGCGACACUCAGGACGUCAUUUUUUAGUUCAGCUUCCAGGUCAGUCCCCCUCCACCAAUCACGGCUCUCCUGUGCUUUCUGUCUCAAGCCAGUGGCGUGUAGACACUUGGACUGAUGGUGGAACAGCCAGUGGAGGGGACGGUGCCGAGCGACGAGGACGGCGCCGAGCGGCGACACAAGGAAACUGGAUUAGACUUAACAUAUUAAAACACACUGAUGCAACUCAGUGUCGAGCUGCUAGGUUGUGUUUCUGCUCCAGAUCAGAAGGACCUUUAGUGCUGAGCUCUUUAUUUUACUGCUAGUGUCAGUAUUAGAUCAGAUGCUUUGUUUAUGGGUCUGUUUGUGUUAAAUGAUGCAUGCGGUUCUGCUCCUACAGCAGCCUGGCCCACGGCUGAACACCACCCUCGUGCUGCAUCAGCCAGGCUGAUGUAGUGAAAAAGCUGUCAUGUGUUAGAUGUGAUGUCACGCCUUGUGUCAGCUGCACAACUAAUCCCGCCCUCCUCACAAACGCACACACAAACCGGGCUGUGGGUCGACUGCAUCUGCGUUCCUACGCUGGCUCCUGUACCUUCUGAUUGGCGCUUGUUAAUGACCCAGAUGUUUUAAAUAAACUUUUCUAUUCACGUGACUUUUAUAACGGCACGAUUAAAGAUGUUUAAAUAUA